GAUGAACGCUGGCGGCGUGCCUAAUACAUGCAAGUCGAGCGAACAGACGAGGAGCUUGCUGCUCUGACGUUAGCGGCGGACGGGUGAGUAACACGUGGAUAACCUACCUAUAAGACUGAGAUAACUUCGGGAAACCGGAGCUAAUACCGGAUAAUAUUUUGAACCGCAUGGUUCAACAGUGAAAGACGGUCUUGCUGUCACUUAUAGCUGGAUCCGCGCUGCAUUAGCUAGUUGGUAAGGUAACGGCUUACCAAGGCAACGAUGCGUAGCCGACCUGAGAGGCUGAUCGCCGACACGGGAACGGAGACACGGUCCAGACUCCUACGGGAGGCAGCAGUAGGGAAUCGUACGCAAUGGGCGAAAGCCUGACGGAGUAACGCCAAGUGAGUGAUGAAGGUCUUCGGAUCGUAAAACUCUGUUAUUAGGGAAGAACAGAUGUGUAAGUAACUGUGGACAGCGUGACGGUACCUAAUCAGAAAGCCACGGCUAACUACGUG
rnacentral:rRNA from 1 species